UGGGGAAUAUUGGACAAUGGGCGCAAGCCUGAUCCAGCCAUGCCGCGUGAGUGAUGAAGGCCUUAGGGUUGUAAAGCUCUUUCGCCGACGAAGAUAAUGACGGUAGUCGGAGAAGAAGCCCCGGCUAACUUCGUGCCAGUAGCCGCGGUAAUACGAAGGGGGCUAGCGUUGUUCGGAAUCACUGGGCGUAAAGCGCACGUAGGCGGAUUGUUAAGUCAGGGGUGAAAGCCUGGAGCUCAACUCCAGAACUGCCCUUGAUACUGGCAAUCUCGAGUCCGGAAGAGGUAAGUGGAACUGCGAGUGUAGAGGUGAAAUUCGUAGAUAUUCGCAAGAACACCAGUGGCGAAGGCGGCUUACUGGUCCGGUACUGACGCUGAGGUGCGAAAGCGUGGGGAGCAAAACAGGAUUAGAUACCCUGGUAGUCCACGCCGUAAACGAUGGAGGCUAGCCGUUGGCGAGCAUGCUCGUCAGUGGCGCAGCUAACGCAUUAAGCCUCCCGCCUGGGGAGUACGGUCGCAAGAUUAAAACUCAAAGGAAUUGAC
rnacentral:rRNA from 1 species